AUUGAACGCUGGCGGCAUGCCUUACACAUGCAAGUCGAACGGCAGCGGACCUUCGGGUGCCGGCGAGUGGCGAACGGGUGAGUAAUAUAUCGGAACGUACCUUUCAGUGGGGGAUAACGUAGCGAAAGUUACGCUAAUACCGCAUAUUCUGUGAGCAGGAAAGCAGGGGAUCGCAAGACCUUGCGCUGAUUGAGCGGCCGAUAUCAGAUUAGCUAGUUGGUGAGGUAAAGGCUCACCAAGGCGACGAUCUGUAGCGGGUCUGAGAGGAUGAUCCGCCACACUGGAACUGAGACACGGUCCAGACUCCUACGGGAGGCAGCAGUGGGGAAUUUUGGACAAUGGGCGCAAGCCUGAUCCAGCCAUGCCGCGUGAGUGAAGAAGGCC
rnacentral:rRNA from 1 species